rnacentral:rRNA from 1 species
CCUACGGGAGGCAGCAGUGGGGAAUAUUGGACAAUGGGGGCAACCCUGAUCAAGCCAUGCCGCGUGUGUGAAGAAGGCCCUCGGGUUGUAAAGCACUUUCAGUGAGGAAGAACGCCUGGUGGUUAAUACCCAUCAGGAAAGACAUUACUCACAGAAGAAGCACCGGCUAACUCCGUGCCAGCAGCCGCGGUAAUACGGAGGGUGCGAGCGUUAAUCGGAAUUACUGGGCGUAAAGCGCGCGUAGGUGGCUUGAUAAGCCGGUUGUGAAAGCCCCGGGCUCAACCUGGGAACGGCAUCCGGAACUGUCAAGCUAGAGUGCAGGAGAGGAAGGUAGAAUUCCCGGUGUAGCGGUGAAAUGCGUAGAGAUCGGGAGGAAUACCAGUGGCGAAGGCGGCCUUCUGGACUGACACUGACACUGAGGUGCGAAAGCGUGGGUAGCAAACAGGAUUAGAUACCCCAGUAGUC